rnacentral:rRNA from 2 species
UUUAUUGGAGAGUUUGAUCCUGGCUCAGGACGAACGCUGGCGGCGUGCCUAAUACAUGCAAGUCGAGCGAAUCGAUGGGAGCUUGCUCCCAGAGGUUAGCGGCGGACGGGUGAGUAACACGUGGGUAACCUGCCUGUAAGAUUGGGAUAACUCCGGGAAACCGGAGCUAAUACCGGAUAACAUUUUGAACCGCAUGGUUCAGAAUUGAAAGAUGGCGUCUAGCUAUCACUUACAGAUGGACCCGCGUCGCAUUAGCUAGUUGGUGAGGUAACGGCUCACCAAGGCAACGAUGCGUAGCCGACCUGAGAGGGUGAUCGGCCACACUGGGACUGAGACACGGCCCAGACUCCUACGGGAGGCAGCAGUAGGGAAUC